rnacentral:rRNA from 1 species
GACGAACGCUGGCGGCGUGCCUAAUACAUGCAAGUUGAGCGAUGAAGCUUGGUGCUUGCACCAAUUUGAAGAGCAGCGAACGGGUGAGUAACGCGUGGGGAAUCUGCCUUUGAGCGGGGGACAACAUUUGGAAACGAAUGCUAAUACCGCAUAACAACUUUAAACAUAAGUUUUAAGUUUGAAAGAUGCAAUUGCAUCACUCAAAGAUGAUCCCGCGUUGUAUUAGCUAGUUGGUGAGGUAAAGGCUCACCAAGGCGAUGAUACAUAGCCGACCUGAGAGGGUGAUCGGCCACAUUGGGACUGAGACACGGCCCAAACGCCUACGGGAGGCAGCAGUAGGGAAUCGUCGGCAAUGGACGAAAGUCUGACCGAGCAACGCCGCGUGAGUGAAGAAGGUUUUCGGAUCGUAAAACUCUGUUGGUAGAGAAGAACGUUGGUGAGAGUGGAAAGCUCAUCAAGUGACGGUAACUACCCAGAAAGGGACGGCUAACUACGUG